UACGGGAGGCAGCAGUAGGGAAUAUUGGGCAAUGGAGGCAACUCUGACCCAGCCAUGCCGCGUGCAGGAAGAAGGCGUUAUGCGUUGUAAACUGCUUUUAUAUAGGAAGAAAUAGACCUUGCGAGGUAAGUUGACGGUACUAUAUGAAUAAGCACCGGCUAACUCCGUG
rnacentral:rRNA from 1 species